rnacentral:rRNA from 1 species
GAAUUUUGGACAAUGGGGGCAACCCUGAUCCAGCCAUUCCGCGUGAGUGAAGAAGGCCUUCGGGUUGUAAAGCUCUUUUGUCCGGAACGAAACGGUUACAGCGAAUACCUGUGACUACUGACGGUACCGGAAGAAUAAGCACCGGCUAACUACGUGCCAGCAGCCGCGGUAAUACGUAGGGUGCGAGCGUUAAUCGGAAUUACUGGGCGUAAAGCGCGCGUAGGCGGUUUUCCAAGUCGGGCGUGAAAGCCCCGGGCUCAACCCGGGAAAUGCGCUCGAAACUUGAAGACUGGAGGCCGGAAGAGGGUAGUGGAAUUCCCAGUGUAGAGGUGAAAUUCGUAGAUAUUGGGAAGAACACCAGUGGCGAAGGCGGCUACCUGGUCCGGAUCUGACGCUGAGGCGCGAAAGCGUGGGGAGCAAAC